UGGGGAAUUUUGGACAAUGGGCGAAAGCCUGAUCCAGCAAUGCCGCGUGUGUGAAGAAGGCCUUCGGGUUGUAAAGCACUUUUGUCCGGAAAGAAAUCCUUGGCUCUAAUACAGUCGGGGGAUGACGGUACCGGAAGAAUAAGCACCGGCUAACUACGUGCCAGCAGCCGCGGUAAUACGUAGGGUGCAAGCGUUAAUCGGAAUUACUGGGCGUAAAGCGUGCGCAGGCGGUUUGCUAAGACCGAUGUGAAAUCCCCGGGCUCAACCUGGGAACUGCAUUGGUGACUGGCAGGCUAGAGUAUGGCAGAGGGGGGUAGAAUUCCACGUGUAGCAGUGAAAUGCGUAGAGAUGUGGAGGAAUACCGAUGGCGAAGGCAGCCCCCUGGGCCAAUACUGACGCUCAUGCACGAAAGCGUGGGGAGCAAACAGGAUUAGAUACCCUGGUAGUCCAGCGCCCUAAACGAUGUCAACUAGUUGUUGGGGAUUCAUUUCCUUAGUAACGUAGCUAACGCGUGAAGUUGACCGCCUGGGGAGUACGGUCGCAAGAUUAAACUCAAUG
rnacentral:rRNA from 1 species